GUAGGUGGCAAGCGUUGUCCGGAAUUAUUGGGCGUAAAGCGCGCGCAGGCGGUCCUUUAAGUCUGAUGUGAAAGCCCACGGGCUCAACCGUGGAGGGUCAUUGGAAACUGGGGGACUUGAGAACAGAAGAGGAAAGCGGAAUUCCACGCGUAGCGGUGAAAUGCGUAGAGAUGUGGAGGAACACCAGUGGCGAAGGCGGCUUUCUGGUCUGUAACUGACGCUGAGGCGCGAAAGCGUGGGGAGCAAACAGGAUUAGAUACCCUGGUAGUCCACGCCGUAAACGAUGAGUGCUAAGUGUUAGGGGGUUUCCGCCCCUUAGUGCUGCAGCUAACGCAUUAAGCACUCCGCCUGGGGAGUACGGCCGCAAAGGCUG
rnacentral:rRNA from 1 species